rnacentral:rRNA from 1 species
UUUUAUAGCCUUGCCACCCUGAACGUUCCCAAUCUCAUCUGAUCUCAAAAGCUAAGCAGGGUUGGGCCUGCUUAGUACUUGGAUAGGAGACCACCUAGGAAGACCAGGUGCUGCAGGAG